AUGGAUCCCAACAGCUUCAAAACCGGAGGCCUUCUGCUUCCAACCAUCGAGAGGCGGUGCGCUUCGCCUCCAUCUGUCAUCGUGAUCGGGGGCGGAAUCUCAGGGAUCGCCGCGGCUCGUGUCCUCUCCAAUUCCUCUUUUGAGGUGACUGUCCUUGAGUCGAGAGAUCGAAUUGGUGGCCGUGUCCACACGGAUUACUCCUUUGGAUGCCCCAUUGACAUGGGAGCCUCAUGGUUGCACGGUGUCAGUAAUGAGAAUUCUUUAGCACCACUGAUAGGCCAUCUUGGGCUGAGAUUAUAUCACACCAGUGGUGACAACUCUGUUCUGUAUGACCAUGAUUUGGAAAGCUGUUCGCUCUUUGAUAAGAACGGCCUUGCAGUCCCAAUGGAGACAGCUGCUAAAGUUGGCGUGAUAUUUGAGAAAAUUCUCAAGGAGACGGUGAAACUCCGUGACGAGCAGGAACACGACAUGCCCCUUGAACAGGCAAUCUCAAUGGUUCUUGAGAGGCACCCUGAUCUCAAGCUAGAAGGGCUAGAUGAUCGAAUCCUUCAAUGGUGCGUCUGCCGGCUGGAGGCAUGGUUUGCUGCAGAUGCAGAUGAAAUAUCUCUGAAAAACUGGGAUCAGGAACAUGUUCUCACUGGUGGCCAUGGUCUGAUGGUUGAUGGAUACUUACCUGUAAUUCAGGCUCUCGCUCAAGGUCUUGACAUCCGUCUGAAUCAGAGAGUAAAGAAAAUUGCACGCCAGCAGAAGGGAGUGACAGUCACCAUCGAGGAUGGCACACAAUACUCGGCCGACGCCUGCAUAAUCACUGUGCCGCUCGGUGUGCUGAAGGCGAACAUAAUCAAGUUCGAGCCCGAGCUGCCAUCCUGGAAGAGCUCCGCCAUCGCCGACCUUGGUGUCGGCAUUGAAAACAAGGUUGCCAUGCACUUCGACAAAGCCUUCUGGCCGAAUGUGCAGGUGCUGGGCAUGGUCGGCCCGACGCCCAAGACGUGCGGCUACUUCCUGAACCUCCACAAGGCCACCGGCCACCCAGUGCUUGUCUUCAUGGCAGCCGGUCGGUUCGCCCAGGAUGUGGAGAAGCUCUCGGACAAGGAGGCUGUGGAACUCGUCAUGUGUCACCUGAGGAAGAUGAUACCCGACGCAACUGAACCCAACAAGUACCUGGUGUCGCGGUGGGGGUCAGACCCGAACUCGCUGGGGUCCUACUCGUGCGACCUGGUGGGGAAGCCGUCGGACGUGUGCGAGAGGUUCUCGGCGCCGGUGGAGAGCGUGUUGUACUUCGCCGGAGAGGCGGCCAGCGCGGAGCACUCUGGUGCGGUGCACGGCGCCUACUCAUCUGGGAUGGAAGCUGCAGAGGAAUGCCGGAGGAGGUUGCUGAUGAGUAAGGGCGUUCCAGACCUCGUCCAGGUCGCUGGCGCCGCCUGCGAGGAGAUGGCCGACGUCGUCGCCCCUCUCCAGAUUUGCCGCACCUAG
rnacentral:rRNA from 1 species